CCAAGACCUCAAAGCCACGAUGCAAGAGGGCUGGUCCAGCAUCUUCCUGUUCUCCACCCCCAUGAGUUUAAGGAAGGUCUUUGGGUUUUCUGGAGGCAUAACUGGAAAAAAAUGAAGAGAGGAAAGCAAAAUCAGAGAGACAGACAAAAUUAAGAGACAGGAGACCUCUGGGUGCUCCCUGCAUUCGACUUCACAGCCUUUGGCUGUAGGAUAUGUGCAGUCAUCACAACUCAUUCUGCCAAACCAAAUGAGAUUACCCUCAACCCUCUGAGUCUUAGAACUGAAGAUCCCAAAAGAUCUUAAAAGGUAUCUAGUUCCACCUUCAACCCGAUGCUCUUCAACAUUCUCAUCAAGUCACCAGAUGGCCUCUGCUUGUACAUACCCGGAAGCCCAGUAUGGAUCAAAGCAGCUCAUUCCAUGGAUGGACAACCCAAGCUGUCAGAAAGUUCUUUCUUAAGUGUGUGUCCCGCUGUGCCAUUUCCACCAUUCUGCCUCAGUGCUCCACUCCAGAGAAACAUAGAAUCAACCUACUCCCUCUUCUCUAGGAAAGACCAUUC